UACGUAGGUGACCAGCGUUGUCCGGAUUUACUGGGCGUAAAGGGCGCGUAGGCGGCCGCCUAAGUCAGACGUGAAAUCCCUCGGCUCAACCGGGGAACUGCGUCUGAUACUGGGUGGCUUGAAUCCGGGAGAGGGAUGCGGAAUUCCAGGUGUAGCGGUGAAAUGCGUAGAUAUCUGGAGGAACACCGGUGGCGAAGGCGGCAUCCUGGACCGGUAUUGACGCUGAGGCGCGAAAGCCAGGGGAGCAAACGGG
rnacentral:rRNA from 1 species